GACGAACGCUGGCGGCGUGCUUAACACAUGCGAGUCGAACGGGAUCCGGGCUUUCGGGUUUGGUGAGAGUGGCGAACGGGUGAGUAACACGUGAGUAACCUGCCCCCUUCUUUGGGAUAACGUCGGGAAAUCGGCGCUAAUACUGGAUAUUCUUGCUGCAUCGCAUGGUGUGGUUUGGAAAGGGUUUCUGGUGGGGGAUGGGCUCGCGGCCUAUCAGCUUGUUGGUGGGGUGAUGGCCUACCAAGGCUUUGACGGGUAGCCGGCCUGAGAGGGUGUCCGGCCACACUGGGACUGAGACACGGCCCAGACUCCUACGGGAGGCAGCAGUGGGGAAUAUUGCACAAUGGGCGCAAGCCUGAUGCAGCGACGCCGCGUGAGGGAUGACGGCCUUCGGGUUGUAAACCCCUUUCAGUAUGGAACAAGGAUCCUUCUUUUGGGGGGUUUGAGGGUACGUGCAGAAGAAGCGCCGGCUAACUACGUG
rnacentral:rRNA from 1 species